GGGCCCGCACAAGCGGUGGAGUAUGUGGUUUAAUUCGAUGCAACGCGAAGAACCUUACCAGGGUUUGACAUCCUGCGAAUCUCUUGGAAACGAGAGAGUGCCUUCGGGAGCGCAGUGACGGGUGGUGCAUGGCUGUCGUCAGCUCGUGUCGUGAGAUGUUGGGUUAAGUCCCGCAACGAGCGCAACCCACGUCUUUAGUUGCCAGCAUUAGUUGGGCACUCUAGCAAGACUGCCAGUGCAACUGUGAGGAAGGUGGGAUGACGUCAAUCAUCACGGCCCUUACGUCCUGGGCUACACACGUGCUACAAUGGUAGGUACAGAGAGCAGCCAAUGCGCGAGCAUGAGCAAAUCUAUAAACCUAUCUC
rnacentral:rRNA from 1 species